CUCUUUUUCUUCUUCGCCAAGCUUUUUCUUUUCUAGUUGCUUUUUAACUCAGGCAUCGUCUUCUUCGCCUUCUCUUUACUUUUCCUCGUUUUCUCCAAUCUCUUCUCCAUCUCUGAUCUACAGCUUGGCCCACUUCUUUCUUCUUUUCGAUCCUUAGGAUUUUUCUUCACUCUUUAGCAAUGGCGCUGCUUCCGCCUCUUCCUUCUUCUCCGUCCUUAGAUUAUAACAUACUUAGACAGUUCGUCGAAUCGGACCCUUCUCGAUUCAUUUUAGGUCCUUCUUUCAUAGACGAACC
rnacentral:lncRNA from 1 species